UAGGGAAUCUUCCACAAUGGACGCAAGUCUGAUGGAGCAACGCCGCGUGAGUGAAGAAGGUUUUCGGAUCGUAAAGCUCUGUUGUUGGUGAAGAAGGAUAGAGGCAGUAACUGGUCUUUAUUUGACGGUAUCAACCAGAAAGUCACGGCUAACUACGUGCCAC
rnacentral:rRNA from 1 species